AAGUCAUAACAAGGUUUCUGUAGGUGAACCUGCAGAAGGAUCAUUAGUGAAUCUUUAUUGCCGUACUUCUCUUCGAGAGGUCGGCUCUAAUCCCAUCAUCUAUUAUCCAAACACAAGACUACGGAGGGGUGGCUGCGUUGGUGGCCCCCUGCUCCGGAUUGGUUCUGGGUCAGAUCAUUAACACUGGCUGGCUCGGUUCCUACAACCUUUUCAACUCAUGAAUCAUAGAAUGUUAAACCCAUUGUCUUCGGACAUGAAACUAAAUACAACUUUUGACAACGGAUCUCUUGGUUCUCC
rnacentral:misc_RNA from 1 species